AAGAACUAACAUUAAAAAACAACUUAAAAAAAAAAUCUCAACAAAAAUACAACAAAAUCAAUAAUAAACCUAUAAUAUCAAUGUCAAUAAACCUAUAACGUAUUUAUUUCAACAAAAACAACAACAUAUAACAUUAAUCUUAAUUUAAAUAACAACAAGAUUAAACAUCUAACGAGUCUCAAAAACAACAACAAGAUUAAAACCUCUAAGGUUUCCAAGCUCAACAACAAAACAACAACAACAACAACAACAUUAAUGUAACAUGAAUAGUGAUGUUAGAC
rnacentral:lncRNA from 1 species